ensembl:lncRNA
GGGAGGGAAGGAAUUCGGCUACCAGCAUUGCUUGGCCAAUUCAGCCCAUGAACUGGUUACUGCAGGUGGUUUUCACGGGUGCGGGGAAAUUACAGUCCCAGACUCAAGCCUGUAUCAGUAAACACCACCGCCUCAGGCCGGCCGCUUCAAUUCCGCUGGACCCCUGGCAGUUCAAACAGGGCACCUGGGUCAGUCUGUGAGCUUAGCAGGCAUGGCUGACAAAUGUGGAAAGGAGCAGAGUGGGCAGCUUUUGUCCAGACUGACCCCGGGAAAAAAAGACUUUGCAAUUUUGGGAACUCUUCAAAUACCACCAUUCCUGUGAACCCCAUUACCCUUAGGAUAAAAUCUACAGUCCUUAACUAGCCUCUGAUGGUCUGCACGAUGGAGCCCUACCCACCUCGUCAACUCUUGCUCCUGCCACUGGCCCCUGCAACCUACUGCAUCAACCACAAGUGCUGCCACUCAGGUUUCCGAGUUCUCUGAGCUCUGCUCCACUUCUGCCUGAACUGGUGCUGGGCCCUCCUCCCAGGGCUCUUACCUGGCAAUUCCUCCUUAUCCUUCUUGUUUCGGGUUGAAUGUUAUCUGCAGAGGCUUGGCUAGGUCUCUCAUUAUGAUCUCCUGGGGCCCUUAGCACAAUCAUAAAUAGUUAAUUAUUGGUGACUAUCGGUUUGAAAGGGGUUUCCCUGGUGG